rnacentral:misc_RNA from 1 species
GCUCAAGCAUUUAAACUUGACACGCUUCUGAAACUAUCAGAUGUAAAAGGAAUAGACGGCAAAACUACGUUGUUGCAUUUUGUUGUUCAAGAGAUAAUCCGUUCAGAAGGUAUACGAGCUGCCCGUGCCAGAGAUCGAGGGAGCGUGUCUAGCAUCAAGUCUGAUGAUCUACCCGAGGAUCAGUCUCAAGACUCAGAGGAGUAUUAUCGGAGUACUGGUCUACAGGUUGUUUCAGGUUUGAGUAGUGAACUUGAAAACGUGAAAAAAGCUGCAAUUUUGGAUGCAGACAGCUUAACAGGCACAGUAUCCAAGCUUGGUCGUGCUCUAAAAGAAUCACGGGAUUUCCUAAAUUCAGAAAUGAAGAACGUAGAUGACGAAAAUAGGUUUCACCAGACCCUGAAGAGUUUUGUGCAGAAUGCUGAGCUUGACAUCACGUGGUUAUUCGAGGAAGAAAAAAGAAUAAUGGCCUUAGUUAAAAGCACAGGAGAUUAUUUCCAUGGAAAUGCAGGGAAAAAUGAAGGUUUACGAUUAUUUGUUAUCGUUCGUGAUUUUCUGAUAAUAUUAGAUAAGGUAUGCAUAGAGGUGAAAAAUGCUCAGAGAAAGCUAAACGGCACACCAAAGAAGGAGAAUGUAGCAAGUAAAACUUCAGAGUCCAGCAAUCCACCGUCCCUCGAUCUCCGCCAGAAGCUCUUUCCGGCUAUCACAGAUAGGAGAAUUGACGAUUCUAGUUCGGACGAUGAUGCUUCUUAAGAUAAGGGAUCUGAGUCAUUUUCGAGCUCAAGUAUGGUAAAUAGGGAAACGAGAUUCAGUUUUUGAACGUUGUGCUAACCGAGGGAUCUCAAUUCGAGGCAGCAGAGGUGGUUGGAGUUGCUCAAAGACGACGAUAUGGCUAGUACAUGGCUCUAUUUCAAUUAUUUUCUUCACUGAAUUUCCAUUUGUACUUUAGAA